CCUACACAUGCAAGUCGAACGGUAACAGGAAGCAGCUUGCUGCUUCGCUGACGAGUGGCGGACGGGUGAGUAAUGUCUGGAAGCUGCCUGAUGGAGGGGGAUAACUACUGGAAACGGUAGCUAAUACCGCAUAAUGUCGCAAGACCAAAGAGGGGGACCUUCGGGCCUCUUGCCAUCGGAUGUGCCCAGAUGGGAUUAGCUUGUUGGUGGGGUAACGGCUCACCAAGGCGACGAUCCCUAGCUGGUCUGAGAGGAUGACCAGCCACACUGGAACUGAGACACGGUCCAGACUCCUACGGGAGGCAGCAGUGGGGAAUAUUGCACAAUGGGCGCAAGCCUGAUGCAGCCAUGCCGCGUGUAUGAAGAAGGCCUUCGGGUUGUAAAGUACUUUCAGCGGGGAGGAAGGGAGUAAAGUUAAUACCUUUGCUCAUUGACGUUACCCGCAGAAGAAGCAUCGGCUAACUCCGUGCCAGCAGCC
rnacentral:rRNA from 1 species